rnacentral:rRNA from 1 species
AUUGAACGCUGGCGGCAUGCCUUACACAUGCAAGUCGAACGGCAGCGCGGGAGCAAUCCUGGCGGCGAGUGGCGAACGGGUGAGUAGUGCAUCGGAACGUGCCCAGUUGUGGGGGAUAGCCCGGCGAAAGCCGGAUUAAUACCGCAUGAGACCUGAGGGUGAAAGCGGGGGAUCGAAAGACCUCGCGCGACUGGAGCGGCCGAUGUCAGAUUAGGUAGUUGGUGGGGUAAGGGCCUACCAAGCCUGCGAUCUGUAGCUGGUCUGAGAGGACGGGCAGCCACACUGGGACUGAGACACGGCCCAGACUCCUACGGGAGGCAGCAGUGGGGAAUUUUGGACAAUGGGCGCAAGCCUGAUCCAGCCAUGCCGCGUGCGGGAAGAAGGCCUUCGGGUUGUAAACCGCUUUUGUCGGGGAAGGAACGGCCUGGGCUAAUACCUUGGGCUAAUGACGGUACCCGAAGAAUAAGCACCGGCUAACUACGUGCCAGCCGCCGCAGUAA